AUUGAACGCUGGCGGCAGGCCUAACACAUGCAAGUCGAACGAGUGGCGGACGGGUGAGUAAUGUAUGGGAAACUGCCCGAUAGAGGGGGAUAACUACUGGAAACGGUGGCUAAUACCGCAUACCAUCGGAUGUACCCAGAUGGGAUUAGCUAGUAGGUGGGGUAACGGCUCACCUAGGCGACGAUCCCUAGCUGGUCUGAGAGGAUGACCAGCCACACUGGAACUGAGACACGGUCCAGACUCCUACGGGAGGCAGCAGUGGGGAAUAUGGCACAAUGGGCGCAAGCCUGAUGCAGCCAUGCCGCGUGUAUGAAGAAGGCCUUAGGGUUGUAAAGUACUUUCAGCGAGGAGGCGUUACUCGCAGAAGAAGCACCGGCGAACUCCGUGCCAGCAGCCGCGGUAAUUC
rnacentral:rRNA from 1 species